rnacentral:lncRNA from 1 species
GAGCAAUGAAUUCACCCAGGAUCCAUGGAAGGCUUGAGCAAAUGCUUACUUAGCAAAGUGCUAGGCACAGAGCUAAGCAAGGCAAACCAUCGAAAAGGAGAGCCGAGGGAGCUUCCCUAAGGCACGACUGACAAGUAUCCUGGAGAAACCUGAUCUUACACAGAGCACGUGGUGGCUGCUAGAGGACCAGCAGGGUCAGGAAGACAGUCACGGGGAAGAUAACAGGAAAUGAGUAAGAACCUGUGAAAGCCCUUUGACCUGAGGAGUUGCAGGAGGCUGAGAAUACCUGCUGGGAUGCUAAAGUUUAAAAAGGGUUGCUUAUGUGACUGUAACUGUGGAGUUAUGCACUGGACCUGGCUGGCUUCCCUAGUGGGUACAUAUCUGAAGAUAAUGAUAUCCGGUCUUCCAGAGUCUACCAAUAGCCAAUAGUUCCCCAGGGUCCUGUAAGUACUGACAAGGGGUGUGAUUUUGCCAGCUGAAGGCAGUUUACAUUCGGAGUUCCGCGGACUCUUCAGAGGCUGUAAAAAUGCCGGAGUCACGAAAGCCUGCAAAGAGCUGUUGCUUGCCUUGCUGCUGCUGCUGCUACUGCCGUCCCUGCCCGUGCUGCAGCUGCUACUCCUGCUGCUGCUGCUGCUGCUUGUUGCUGAUUGUUGCGGUUGCUGGUUGCUGUUUACUGUUUGCUGCCGGCUGGAUUGCUGGAUUGCUGAUUGCCAGUCGGCGAAAUCCUGGCGAUGAAGAUCCAACUUGCCCCAAGAAACAAGACGACCCUAAGAAGUAGUCUAAUGAUUUCAAUACGCCCUUUCCCCCUCUGACCUUUCUCUCUUACCUUAUGCUGGGGGAUUGGAAGGGUGGCAGAAAAAAGAACCCAAUAAAGUAGCCAAAAGUAAAGUUAC